rnacentral:rRNA from 1 species
AGACAGAGGGUGCAAACGUUGUUCGGAAUCACUGGGCAUAAAGCGCACGUAGGCGGUUUGGUAAGUCAGAUGUGAAAUCCCCCGGCUCAACCGAGGAACUGCAUUUGAAACUGCCCGACUCGAGUCCGGGAGAGGAGAGUGGAAUUCCCAGUGUAGCGGUGAAAUGCGUAGAUACUCGGAGGAACACCGGUGGCGAAGGCGGCUCUCUGGACCGGUACUGACGCUGAGGCGCGAAAGCUAGGGGAGCAAACAGGAUUAGAUACCCCGGUAGUCC